CUAAAUAGCUGUAAAUAUUCAUUAGACUUGAAAAUGUUUGAAAAAAGAACUUUUCAAUAAGUGAAUUUAAAAUAAUUGAAUAAUCGAUUAACCAGAAAUAACUGGAUUCUAAAUAUAAAACGUACAAUCCUAUUAUAGCAUUUCGAUUCAAUGUUUUCUUCUCAAUAACAAAAUAUCCGAAUUGACGAAAACGAAGCACCAUCGAAUUUGCUAUUCUUUCGAAAGCAUUCUUCAUAAAAUCAACAGGUUUUCUAUUCUAACUGGCACAAUACGCGUACCAUUGAGACUUCGAAUCGAUAUUUUCAAUUCAUCAACGUGGCCACCUCCUGUUUCGUAGAUCUCCUUUCGGCCGAUGCAUACGCUUUCACGCACAUGGAACAUCGAUACACAGAGUUCUUUCAAUCACGAGAGAUGAACAAGUUCAUUUGUACUGGGGCCACUGAAUAUUAUAUAGAAGAUGAUGUUUACACCUCCAUCUUAAUUAUUACUGACACGAUUAACUCUAUCGAUUAGUUAUUAACUAUAAUUUAUGAUAGCAAACUACUUAGUAAGAUGACCUAUUUGAGUUGGAUUAACGACUAUCAAGGGAACUGUGCAAGAUGAUGUACAUCAAUUUUGGCGAAAUUACAGAGAGAAAUAGAGAAUUAACAUUUCCAUUUCUCAACUUCUGGUUUUAAUUACCAUUCCUAAUACAUUUAUUACCCUCAACAUCAGAGCAGCAUGUAUUUUUAAUCCAUAAAGACGUUGAAGGAACGGCAGAGAAUAUAUCGAAAAUCGAAAUUAUCCAAUUAUUUCGAUAAUAUUCACCAAUAUGAGAAAUAGUGUAUUUGCAACGAAAACAGACUACAAGGUCUGUGUUCCAAUUUAAUCAUACAUUUAGUCACCACUACAUUAUAUUAAAUCGAAAUGAUACAAAGGUUUAUGGAAAAUUCGAGCUCAGUUCGGACUAUUAACGUUUCUAUCCCGUAUUAUCGAGAAGCCGAAAUGUAAUAUUUCGAAGCGUGUAAUUAAAAUUACAAGCAUGACAAAUUUACACUAAAAACAUGU